rnacentral:siRNA from 1 species
GGGUUCAAGAGAUUGUGCAUGGG